rnacentral:rRNA from 1 species
UACGUAGGCAGCAAGCGUUGUUCGGAGUUACUGGGCGUAAAGAGUGCGUAGGCGGUCCUCUAAGUUUGGCGUGAAAUCUCCCGGCUCAACCGGGAGGGUGCGCCGAAAACUGGAGGGCUCGAGUGUGGGAGAGGUAAGCGGAAUUCCUGGUGUAGCGGUGAAAUGCGUAGAUAUCAGGAGGAACACCUGUGGUGUAGACGGCUUACUGGACCAUUACUGACGCUGAGGCACGAAAGCGUGGGGAGCAAACAGG